ACGGGAGGCCGCAGUAGGGAAUAUUGCACAAUGGGGGGAACCCUGAUGCAGCAACGCCACGUGUGGGAAGAAGCAUUUCGGUGUGUAAACCACUGUCGUGCGGGAAUAAUGCUUGAUUUCGGUCAAGUUGAAUGUACCUCGAAAGGAAGCACCGGCAAACUUCGUGCCAGCAGCCGCGGUAAUACGAGGGAUGCAAGCGUUGUUCGGAAUCACUGGGCGUAAAGGGAGCGUAGGCGGAGACGCAAGCAGUCUGUACAAUCCCGGGGCCCAACCCCGGACCUGCAGACUGGACUGUGUCUCUUGGAUAGUUCAGGGGCAGGCGGAAUUCCUGGUGUAGCGGUGGAAUGCGUAGAGAUCAGGAAGAACACCGAUGGCGAAGGCAGCCUGCUGGGGACUCAUCGACGCUGAGGCUCGAAAGUGUGGGUAGCAAACAGGAUUAGAUACCCUGGUA
rnacentral:rRNA from 1 species